rnacentral:rRNA from 1 species
UACGUAGGGGGCAAGCGUUGUCCGGAUUAAUUGGGCGUAAAGAGCGUGUAGGCGGCCAUUCAGGUCAGCUGUGAAAACUCGAGGCUCAACCUCGAGACGUCGGUUGAAACCGUUUGGCUAGAGUCCGGAAGAGGAGAGUGGAAUUCCCGGUGUAGCGGUGAAAUGCGCAGAUAUCGGGAAGAACACCCGUGGCGAAGGCGGCUCUCUGGGACGGUACUGACGCUGAGACGCGAAAGCGUGGGGAGCGAACAGG